rnacentral:rRNA from 1 species
AGUGAACGCUGGCGGUAGGCCUAACACAUGCAAGUCGAACGGCAGCACAGUAAGAGCUUGCUCUUACGGGUGGCGAGUGGCGGACGGGUGAGGAAUACAUCGGAAUCUACUUUUUCGUGGGGAUAACGUAGGGAAACUUACGCUAAUAACGCAUACGACCUACGGGUGAAAGCAGGGGAUCUUCGGCCCUUGCGCGAUUGAAUGAGCCGAUGUCGGAUUAGCUAGUUGGCGGGGUAAAGGCCCACCAAGGCGACGGGCCGUAGCUGGUCUGAGAGGAUGAUCAGCCACACUGGAACUGAGACACGGUCCAGACUCCUACGGGAGGCAGCAGUGGGGAAUAUUGGACAAUGGGCGCAAGCCUGAUCCAGCCAUACCGCGUGGGUGAAGAAGGCCUUCGGGUUGUAAAGCCCUUUUGUUGGGAAAGAAAAGCAGCAGGUUAAUACCCCGCUGUUCUGACGGUACCCAAAGAAUAAGCACCGGCUAACUUCGUG